rnacentral:rRNA from 1 species
UACGGAGGGUGCAAGCGUUAAUCGGAAUUACUGGGCGUAAAGGGUGCGUAGGUGGUUUAGUAAGUUAUCUGUGAAAUCCCUGGGCUUAACCUGGGCAGGUCAGAUAAGACUGCUGGACUCGAGUAUGGUAGAGGGUAGUGGAAUUUCCGGUGUAGCGGUGAAAUGCGUAGAGAUCGGAAGGAACACCAGUGGCGAAGGCGGCUACCUGGACUAAUACUGACACUGAGGCACGAAAGCGUGGGGAGCAAACAGG